CCAAUAGCGUAUAUUAAAGUUGUUGCAGUUAAAAAGCUCGUAGUUGAAUUUCGAGACCGGCUUACUGGUCGUGCUUUUGUGCGUACUGGUAUAAUCGGUUUCUCCUUUCUGACGAACUUUAAUGCCAUUAAUUUGGUGUUUUAGGGAAUCAGGACUGUUACUUUGAAAAAAUUAGAGCGUUUAAAGCAGGCUCACGCUUGAAUACAUUAGCAUGGAAUAACGGAAUAGGACGUUUGAUUCUAUUUUGUUGGUUUCUAGGAUCGACGUAAUGAUUAAUAGGGAUAGUUGGGGGCAUUAGUAUUCAAUUGUCAGAGGUGAAAUUCUUGGAUUUAUUGAAGACUAACUACUGCGAAAGCAUUUGCCAAGGAUGUUUUCAUUAAUCAAGAACGAAAGUUAGGGGAUCGAAGACGAUCAGAUACCGUCGUAGUCUUAACCAUAAACUAUGCCGACUAGGGAUCGGAUGAUGUUAAUUUUUUAAUGACUCAUUCGGCGCCUUACG
rnacentral:rRNA from 1 species